UACGUAGGGAGCGAGCGUUGUCCGGAUUCAUUGGGCGUAAAGAGCUCGUAGGCGGCUUGGCAAGUCGGGUGUGAAAACUCCAGGCUCAACCUGGAGACGCCACCCGAUACUGCCAUGGCUAGAGUCCGGUAGGGGACCACGGAAUUCCUGGUGUAGCGGUGAAAUGCGCAGAUAUCAGGAGGAACACCGGUGGCGAAGGCGGUGGUCUGGGCCGGAACUGACGCUGAGGAGCGAAAGCGUGGGUAGCAAACAGG
rnacentral:rRNA from 1 species